UUUGUGGGUGCCAGAUUCGGCCUUUGAUUCCUUGCUAUGCCAAAACAACUCCGAAAUUCUCCCAGAUUUUUCCCAUCUCGCUAG